GUCUGGCCAUGUGGGAUGUCUGUUCCUCGCUUCCCUCCUGCCAUGGCUGUUAAGUUUCCUGAGGCUUCACCAGAAACCAAGAGGAUUCCAGCACCAUGCUUCCUGUAUAGCCUGGAGAACUCCAAGAAGGAUCGUGUCAGUCCUGCAACUUGUCAGUGGAAUUAAAUUUCAGGCGUUUUAAAGAUAAAUGGUAAAACUGAACUGGAAAUCCAUCUGGCCGGCUGCCUGCUCUAAUGAAUAACCCCACUUUGGCUCGUGCAAUGACUUCUUCCCUUUGGAAUGCAAGUGCGGUGGCAGUGUCAAGGAUGCCUGUGUGUUUGCAGCAGGUUCCUUCCAGAAGCAGCUGCAAGUGCCACCUCCAGGCCAUCUGGCCAAUGUGAGGAAAGGAGGCUGCAAGGGCUUGGCAAAAACAACUUUCUGUUCCUCUGGUAUCCCCUGAUAACUGAUUUCAAGUUAUGGCCAAGGACUGCCUUAUCGCCGUCAGUGGCUGUCAAAAAUUUAUAAGUAUAUUCAUUUCCCUAUUCAACUUAAUUGGUAUUUUGGGUAUGACACUAGAAAAGCAAGUUAGACUUGCCUGUUGGAGUCCAAGGAUACCUCCAACAAAAUUCUAGACAAUAAAAGAAAGGGUAAGUGUCUGAGGGGAGGGGGCACUUACAAAUUAUUCCAUUUAAUGCUAAUUCGAGGCUUCCAGAUUCAUUUUGGGAAAAUCAAAGAGCAAGAGCUGUAUGCAUGGCUUUUUAAAACACAAAGAAAAUUGGGAAGCAUGGGCUUCCCAAUUUUCCUGCGCAUAAACUUCUAGAACAAUUUCUAUUGUUGAUACUUUAAAAAAAAUCUUUUUCUUUUCUGUGAUGUGGUCUUUUAAACUCAUACCACAACUUAUGGCUCCCUCUACUUCCUAUAUUUUAAUUGAUCUUGAGGUUAUUUUCAAGUCACUGGGCUUAAUGAACAAAUAUUUUAGAAUUUCUUCCUUUAUAUACACUCAUUUCUGUCUCAAUAAAAUGUCUAAUCAGGAAUUCACUUGUGUAGAAAAUAAAAAAUAGAAGUACAUACCCUUCAA
rnacentral:lncRNA from 1 species